CCCGACUCAAUGUACCAAUGACUGGGAAUAUUUAAGAUUAGGAUUUUAGGAUUUUAAGUCUCACUAGUAUGAUCUCAUCAUAGUCUUAAAACCAUUGCCCUAAACUAAGGAGUUUAUCAUAAAUAUAAUCAACAGCAUAUGAUAAAACAUAACGCCUUUAUUCAUAUUUAAAUAUCAUGUACAUGAUUUGGACAAAUCAAAAGAAAA
rnacentral:lncRNA from 1 species